rnacentral:rRNA from 1 species
AUGGAGCUGCGGUUCAUGUCGGUGUGGAAGAAUCGACCUGUGCACAACGUGGAACUCGUGAGCCAGAAGAUCCAGGAGCGCGCCUGUCACCUCUUCGUCGUGGGGCGAGAAUUCUCUGAACCCGCCGCCGCCAGCUUGGUGGCAUGUGGAUUUCAGUGCAUCGCCAACGAGGCCGCUUUGGCUUGCGAGCUGCUGACACGUGGGGCUGAAGCCACCGACGUGGAGAUCAAACUAUGCAACUGCAUCCGCCAGUGCGCGCUGAGUCUUAUGUACAUGACAGGGCCGCGUUCCGAUGCCUCCGCUGCUGCUAUGGUGGAUGGUUUCAAGGGUGUUGCCAAGGAGGCCAGAAGGAUGUGUGAGUGGAUGAGGAAUGCAAACCAACUGUAUGCUUUCCAAGGUUACUCUGAAAUCCACAAGAUGGGUCACUGCGAUGAGAUCCGGAUUCCCACCUUUCAUCUUUUCAAGUAUAUACUUACAGGGCAAUUCACAAGUUCUUCAAUGGGAAAAAGAACCGUUUGUGCUUAUGGAUUUUGUAAAGAAGAGGGACAAGACACAAGCAUGAACAUCAAAGAACUAUUUGUCACAGCUAGUAUUAUCUCCAUUUGGUUGGAAGCUCAGGACAAAAUUCAUACAAGAGAUACAUUGGCAAAAGAGGCAGCACCUUCUGAUGUGUUUCACCUUUGGGCGCGCCAUGUUGCAUUGCUAUUGCUUGGUGCGGGGCCAUUCUUGAGUGAUCGAGACAAUGGGCUCGUUUGCAACACAGCCGACGGGAGAGGACAAUCACCACUGCUGUCGCGGAACCGACCGGACGCGACGACCGGGACCUACCAGGCCCCUACUGACCCGGCCGGACCCAAAAGGAUCCAGACAGCCCCUGCCUCCACGCUGCAACUCGCCGGCCGACGAAGCCGCCACCGCCAGCAGAUCCCUGCCUCCUCGCCACCACCACCAGGGAGCAGCACCACGCGAGUCGACCUGCCCCAACCCAGAUGGAGCCCGAAAGGGCCCAAAUAUGGGCCGCGCGGGCGCCGUUGGCUACUAGUACCACUGCGCAGCUGCAUCAAGGGCAUCCGAGGCCCGCGGGAUCUCCGUCACCGGCCGAGAAGCACCGCCGCCAACAGGAGGCCCCCGCGCCCCCUACCGCGCGCGGGGAAAGACUACCCUAUAAUCGCCAGCAUCACGGGCAAGGGCCCGGCGGACCACGCCGGCGGCGGUGGCAGGGGAGAAUGGCCGGGAGGGGAUGGAGGAGAGGGAGCCGGGGAUGUUCGCCCAUCGCUCCCGCGGAUAACAUCGUCUGACACGGUCUGUGUCUCCUGCGUCGGUGCUGUUGGUAGAGUGUGA